rnacentral:rRNA from 1 species
UACGUAGGGACCGAGCGUUGUCCGGAAUCAUUGGGCGUAAAGAGCGUGUAGGCGGCCACUUAAGUCCUGCGUGAAAUCUUGCGGCUCAACCGCAAGCGGUCGUGGGAAACUGGGUGGCUAGAGUGCGGGAGAGGAGAGUGGAAUUCCUGGUGUAGCGGUGGAAUGCGCAGAUAUCAGGAAGAACACCCGUGGCGAAGGCGGCUCUCUAGAACGCAACUGACGCUGAGACGCGAAAGCGUGGGGAGCAAACAGG